UACGUAGGGUGCGAGCGUUGUCCGGAUUUAUUGGGCGUAAAGAGCUCGUAGGCGGCUUGUCGCGUCGGAUGUGAAAGCCCGGGGCUUAACUCCGGGUCUGCAUUCGAUACGGGCAGGCUAGAGUGUGGUAGGGGAGAUCGGAAUUCCUGGUGUAGCGGUGAAAUGCGCAGAUAUCAGGAGGAACACCGGUGGCGAAGGCGGAUCUCUGGGCCAUUACUGACGCUGAGGAGCGAAAGCGUGGGGAGCAAACAGG
rnacentral:rRNA from 1 species